GAUGGCAUCCGUGGUCUUAAAGCAGUGAAACAAACAUAUAUCAAAGUAAAAUGAAGUAGAUGAAUAUUUAAUUUUUAUUUUAAAAAAAAUUAGCAAAGCCUAAAUUUAUUAAGAAAAUGAAAUGUAGGGAAAAAGAAAAAGAUGACCCACACCCCAAAGUGCCAAGGGGUUGAAGGAACAAUCAUAACAAAAGAUUUGAGCAAAUUGAUGGUUAUCUUCAGUCUUCACUUCUUCGUGUCAAU
rnacentral:lncRNA from 1 species